GCAUAUCAAUAAGCGGAGGAAAAGAAACUAACAAGGAUUCCCUAGUAGCGGCGAGCGAAGCGGGAAGAGCUCAAAUUUAUAAUCUGGCACCUUCGGUGUCCGAGUUGUAAUCUCUAGAAAUGUUUUCCGCGUUGGACCGCACACAAGUCUGUUGGAAUACAGCGGCAUAGUGGUGAGACCCCCGUAUAUGGUGCGGACGCCCAGCGCUUUGUGAUACAUUUUCGAAGAGUCCAGUUGUUUGGGAAUGCAGCUCAAAUUGGGUGGUAAAUUCCAUCUAAAGCUAAAUAUUGGCGAGAGACCGAUAGCGAACAAGUACCGUGAGGGAAAGAUGAAAAGCACUUUGGAAAGAGAGUUAACAGUACGUGAAAUUGUUGGAAGGGAAACGCUUGAAGUCAGACUUGCUUGCCGAGCAAUCGGUUUGCAGGCCAGCAUCAGUUUUCCGGGAUGGAUAAUGGUAGAGAGAAGGUAGCAGUUUCGGCUGUGUUAUAGCUCUCUGCUGGAUACAUCUUGGGGGACUGAGGAACGCAGUGUGCCUUUGGCGGGGGUUUCGACCUCUUCACACUUAGGAUGCUGGUGGAAUGGCUUUAAACGACCCGUCUUGAAACACGGACC
rnacentral:rRNA from 1 species